GAUGAACGCUGGCGGCGUGCUUAACACAUGCAAGUCGAACGAUGAAGCCCAGCUUGCUGGGUGGAUUAGUGGCGAACGGGUGAGUAACACGUGAGUAACCUGCCCUUGACUCUGGGAUAAGCCUGGGAAACUGGGUCUAAUACUGGAUAUGACUUCUCAUCGCAUGGUGGGGGGUGGAAAGAUUUAUUGGUCUUGGAUGGACUCGCGGCCUAUCAGCUUGUUGGUGAGGUAAUGGCUCACCAGGGCGACGACGGGUAGCCGGCCUGAGAGGGUGACCGGCCACACUGGGACUGAGACACGGCCCAGACUCCUACGGGAGGCAGCAGUGGGGAAUAGUGCACAAUGGGCGCAAGCCUAAUGCAGCGACGCCGCGUGAGGGAUGACGGCCUUCGGGUUGUAAACCUCUUUCAGUAGGGAAGAAGCGAGAGUGACGGUACCUGCAGAAGAAGCGCCGGCUAACUACGUG
rnacentral:rRNA from 1 species